AUUGAACGCUGGCGGCAGGCUUAACACAUGCAAGUUGAGCGGGGUGAUGGUGCUUGCACUAUCACUUAGCGGCGGACGGGUGAGUAAUGCUUAGGAAUCUGCCUAUUAGUGGGGGACAACAUCUCGAAAGGGAUGCUAAUACCGCAUACGUCCUACGGGAGAAAGCAGGGGCUCACUGGUGACCUUGCGCUAAUAGAUGAGCCUAGGUCGGAUUAGCUAGUUGAUGGGGUAAAGGCCUACCAAGGCGACGAUCUGUAGCGGGUCUGAGAGGAUGAUCCGCCACACUGGGACUGAGACACGGCCCAGACUCCUACGGGAGGCAGCAGUGGGGAAUAUUGGACAAUGGGGGGAACCCUGAUCCAGCCAUGCCGCGUGUGUGAAGAAGGCCUUAUGGUUGUAAAGCACUUUAAGCGAGGAGGAGGCUCUUUUGGUUAAUACCCAAGAUGAGUGGACGUUACUCGCAGAAUAAGCACCGGCUAACUCUGUGCCAGCCGCCGCAGUAA
rnacentral:rRNA from 1 species